rnacentral:lncRNA from 1 species
AGAUUAAAAAUCAUGAAGAUUUUUGUGGAUUAUGGUCUCGAAAUUUUGGAUUUUGGAAACAAGUGAGGUUUUCUUAAAUAUCUAUCAAUCUGCUAAUUAGAUUAAAGAAAUUUUUUUUACAAAGGUAGUCAAUUUGAUUUUUAAUAAGUAUAUAAAGUUUGAAAGUAAAUCAAUAGUUAAAUUAGGAGUAAUUGGCUUUUAGAGAUUAGCAUCAAGGUCAGAGAAAAAGACCAGUUGAUACUUGAUCACAUUUUUGAGAUUAUCAUCUAUUUGGUGAUUCCGAUCAUUUUUAAUUUUUUUGAUUAUCAAAAAUAAUUUUUUAUAAUUUAUAAUUUUUUAUUUUUUAAUUUACGAAUGUAAAAAAUUUGAUUUAAAAAUAAUAAUUCAAAUAUUAGUUAUUAGAUUUCAAAAUCUAUUGUAAGGUUGUAAAAAAUUUGUUUGAGAUGUAAAAAAUUGAUUAAGAUUUGAUUAGAGUUAGGAUUUGAUUAAGAUUUAGCUUUUGGUUAGAGUUAGGAUUUGAUUUGAUU